rnacentral:lncRNA from 1 species
UCACCGGCGUUGGAUGGGAAGAAGACACCAUCAUGACGUUAACGCUGUGACGCAAGUCCCAAAUAUCGCAUCCCCUUCCUUCUCUAUAAAAGCCAACCCUCUCACGACUCUGAAUCGAUCAUAUGUGCACCACCGAAGACGAUAAGAUGAGGACAGUCGUCAAGAGUCGUGCUUCUCUCCUCCUUACACUCGUCAUCAUCGUCUUCCUCGUCACAGGUCAGCUGCUGCAUGCCGUGAGCUAAAGCUUGUUUACGGCUCUGAUAAUUAUCUACUCUCGAUCUACAUCGAGCUCUAAUGAUCGUAUGCAUGUCUUUUGUGCAUUGUUUGAACUGGUGUAGCGAGAGGGGAGACGACCCCUGUGAAGGAAGCGAAAGCGGAGAUUCCAUACGGUGCCCUGCGCCCUAGCAGUCAGCCCGUGCUCCCCGGAAGACCCUAUACGAGGGGAUGCACGAACAAUUACUACUACUGCCGUCCGCCUUCGACCCCAUGAUAGGCUACUUCGGCAGUAUGGAGGGGUAGUUCCUUUGACGAUGCAAUAUAUAUAUAUACAUAUAUAUAUAUAUAUACAUAUAUAUGUUGAAGUACGGUGCUGAAUAUACAACAACAAUAAAACUGUGUUGUGUGUGUAAGUAACAUGUCAUACUGUAAGAUGGCAUCAAAAUCUGCUUUGGUCAUUAUUAUAUAUUUUACAA